UUCUUUGACGGGCGUUUCCUCCGGCGGGCAGCCUGUGCGAGGCAGCAGCUCGGGGUGGGGAGGGCUGUGAGCACAGGUUGGAUUUGGGCAGGUUUUUAACAGUUUUGGUGUUGGGCAUUUGGCCCGGUGAGCACUCCUUUUCCCUGAUGUGCUGCUGGACGAGCUGUCCUCUGUGGCUUUGAGUUGUUGCAGGCUGGCCAAUGGUUUCCUGAAGGUAGGUAUGGAGACAGCUAGAAGCAGCUAGGGGGUAGCAAGAAAACCAAGAGACGGCACCCUGAAAGCAAGAGGCAGCACAAGGAGCACUGGCAGCGUGGCACCCGUCAGGGGUGCGAAGAGCAGUCUCGCGAGGCAGAGCACAGUCUGGGAAGAAAUCACCCACAGAAGCAUAUGUAAGAGGCCCAAGGACAAGGCGUUAAUGAAAUAAACCUUACUGUAACUCUUAAACGAAAGAGGCUACCAUUGAUCUGCCCUUAGCGGGUUGACUGUUGCUGUAGUUAGAGCCAAAGCUAAUGGAGUUGGAAGGGAAGGUCUUACUCUGAAUGACGCCAGAGAAUGCUGGAAGACAGCUGAGAUAUCUACCAAAAACCCCAAGAACUGUAUGCUAGGAGCCGGAGACUGGAUCUUUUUCAAGAAGCCUAAGUGAGCUAGAUACCCACAUGCCACUGAAGUUCAGUCUCCUUUGGGACUGCCAUGCAUGAAUCACUGCACUGAUGUGACAGGGUUGGUUCUGGGACCAAAACUAGUGCCUUUAUAGGUACUGUGUGUGCUGCGUAGACAUAUUUAGAGACGUACAUCCCACCUCUAUGGGAACUAGCCCGAGUAUCUCUAAUUGGGACUGGACUGUGCAUAUGUAACACAGAAGUGUUCUUAGUUUGUUGGUUUAGGCAGAAACUUAUCUCACCGUGAUAUACCUUUUAAAAGAAAUAUAUGUAUAUAUACAAACAUCUUCUGUCAUUUGCAUUCUCUGAUUCUGUAUAAACUGGAUUUAUAUUGUUAGGAACUGUCAAAAUUUAGUGUAGCUAUUGCUUCUUUAUUGAAGUAAUGUUAUUUUUAUUAAUAUAAAUGCAGUUGGAAUAUUUCUUCCCUUUCUGUCUGCUUUCUGUGCCUACAGAUUCUAUUUAAAUAUUCCUGAAAUGCUGACCUACUUCUUAAUAAAUAUUUAUCAUUUGUGGCCAGCAUGUUUAAAAACAGGAGCCUAAGGGCAGUAAUCAAAGAGUGUGUGUGUAUGUGUAUAUGUGUGUGUGUGUGUGUGUGCACGUGUGUGUGUAUAUAAAGCUGUUCUCUCUCUCUUUCUCUCCCUUCCCCCCCGCUUCCCAAAGUUGCUGAGUAUUUAAUAGUUUCUGCUGUGGUUACAAAGAUGUAUUUUGCACUCAAAAUUCAUGGCUGCUGGAUCACUUACCUCUGGUAUCUGAUCUGGAGUACAAUGAAUAGCCUACAUAUAGACACCUAUUUUGAAAGAUGUUGGCUUAUACUUCUAAAUAAUAAAGGCUUGUGGAAGUUUAACAUAGUACGAAUAAAAGUUUGAAAUAUGCUAGGAAGUCAGGGUGCAGAGACAAUAUGGAGCUCAAGAAAUAAUAAGCCCUUAACAGAUUUAUUUAUUUAUUUU